UGGGGAAUUUUGGACAAUGGGCGCAAGCCUGAUCCAGCCAUGCCGCGUGCAGGAUGAAGGCCUUCGGGUUGUAAACUGCUUAUGUACGGAACGAAAAGACUCCUUCUAAUAAAGGGGGUCCAUGACGGUACCGUAAGAAUAAGCACCGGCUAACUACGUGCCAGCAGCCGCGGUAAUACAGAGGGUGCAAGCGUUAAUCGGAAUUACUGGGCGUAAAGCGCGCGUAGGUGGUUAGUUAAGUUGGAUGUGAAAUCCCCGGGCUCAACCUGGGACCUGCAUUUGUGACUGUAUAGCUAGAGUACGGUAGAGGGGGAUGGAAUUCCGCGUGUAGCAGUGAAAUGCGUAGAUAUGCGGAGGAACACCGAUGGCGAAGGCAAUCCCCUGGACCUGUACUGACGCUCAUGCACGAAAGCGUGGGGAGCAAACA
rnacentral:rRNA from 1 species